rnacentral:rRNA from 1 species
GGAAUAUUCCACAAUGGGCGAAAGCCUGAUGGAGCGACGCCGCGUGAGUGAAGAAGGUUUUCGAAUCGUAAAGCUCUUUUCAACUUGACGAAUGGGUUAUUAGAUAACCAGAGACGGUAAAGAUGGAAUAAGCCACGGCUAACUACGUGCCAGCAGCCUCGGUAAUACGUAGGUGGCAAGCGUUGUCCGGAAUUAUUGGGCGUAAAGGGAGCGCAGGCGGUUUGGUAAGUCUUACUUAAAAGUGCAGCAGUAAAAGUUGUGAUGGGUAAGAAACUAUUGAACUUGAGAGCAGGAGAGGCAAGCGGAAUUCCCAGUGUAGCGGUGAAAUGCGUAGAUAUUGGGAGGAACACCAGUGGCGAAGGCGGCUUGCUGGACUGCAUCUGACGCUGAGGCUCGAAAGCUAGGGUAGCGAACG